GACGUAGGAGGCGAGCGUUAUCCGGAUUCACUGGGCGUAAAGCGCAUGUAGGCGGUUUGAUCCGUCCGCGGUUAAAGCCCCCGGCUCAACUGGGGGAGGUCCGUGGAGACUAUCAGACUUGAGGGCAACAGAGGCACGUGGAACUCCCGGUGUAGCGGUGGAAUGCGUAGAGAUCGGGAAGAACACCCGUGGCGAAGGCGACGUGCUGGGUUGCGACUGACGCUGAGAUGCGAAAGUGUGGGGAGCAAACGGG
rnacentral:rRNA from 1 species